rnacentral:rRNA from 1 species
GAUGAACUCUGACAGCAUGCUUAACACCUGCAAGUCAACUGUGGCGGACGGGUGCGUAACGCGUAAAGAACUUGCCUCACAGCUAGGGACAACAUUUGGAAACGCAUGCUAAUACCUGAUACUGUGAGAGAGCUUUGCGUCACAUUAGCUAGUUGGAGCGGUAUAGGCUCCCCAAGGAGAUGAUGGGUAGCCGGCCUGAGAGGGUGAUCGGCCACAAGGGGACAGAGAAACGGCACUUAGUCCGACGGGAGGCAGCAGUGAGGAAGAUGGGACGAUGGACCAAAGUCUGAUCCAGCAAUUCUGUGUGCACGAUGAAGUUGUCGGAAUGUAAAGUGCUGUCAGUUGGGGAGCGGUACCAACAGAAGAAGUGACGGCUGAAUACGGGCCAGCAGCCGCGGUAAUAC